rnacentral:rRNA from 1 species
UCCCCCACAUUGGAACUGAGACACGGUCCAAACUCCUACGGGAGGCAGCACUGAGGAAUAUUGGUCAAUGGGCGAGAGCCUGAACCAGCCAAGUAGCGUGAAGGAUGACUGCCCUAUGGGUUGUAAACUUCUUUUAUAAAGGAAUAAAGUCGGGUAUGGAUACCCGUUUGCAUGUACUUUAUGAAUAAGGAUCGGCUAACUCCGUGCCAGCAGCCGCGGUAAUACGGAGGAUCCGAGCGUUAUCCGGAUUUAUUGGGUUUAAAGGGAGCGUAGAUGGAUGUUUAAGUCAGUUGUGAAAGUUUGCGGCUCAACCGUAAAAUUGCAGUUGAUACUGGAUAUCUUGAGUGCAGUUGAGGCAGGCGGAAUUCGUGGUGUAGCGGUGAAAUGCUUAGAUAUCACGAAGAACUCCGAUUGCGAAGGCAGCCUGCUAAGCUGCAACUGACAUUGAGGCUCGAAAGUGUGGGUAUCAAACAGGAUUAGAUACCCUGGUAGUCCACACGGUAAACGAU